CUGUCUGUAUGUGUGUCUGACAUUGCUCUCUGUGUGUGUGUCUGACAUUGCUCUCUGUGUGUGUGUGACAUUGCUGUCUGUGUGUGUGUCUGACAUUUCUGUGUGUGUGUGUGUGACAUUGCUGUCUGUGUGUGUGUCUGACAUUGCUGUCUGUAUGUGUGUGUAACAUUGCUGUCUGUGUGUGUGUCUGACAUUGCUCUCUGUAUGUGUGUCUGACAUUGAUCUCUGUGUGUGUGUCUGACAUUGAUCUCUGUGUGUGUGACAUUGCUGUCUGUGUGUGUGUGACAUUUCUGUGUGUGUGUGUGACAUUGCUGUGUGUGUGUCUGACAUUGCUGUCUGUAUGUGUGUGUAACAUUGCUGUAUGUGUGUGUGUCUGACAUUGCUCUCUGUAUGUGUGUCUGACAUUGCUCUCUGUGUGUGUGUGACACUGCUGUCUGUGUGUCUGACAUUGCUGUCUGUAUGUGUGUGUAACAUUGCUGUAUGUGUGUGUGUCUGACAUUGCUGUCUGUAUGUGUGUGUAACAUUGCUGUCUGUGUGUGUGUCUGACAUUGCUCUCUGUGUGUGUGUCUGACAUUGCUCUCUGUGUGUGUGUGACAUUGCUGUCCGUGUGUGUGUCUGACAUUUCUGUGUGUGUGUGUGACAUUGCUGUCUGUGUGUGUGUCUGACAUUGCUGUCUGUAUGUGUGUGUAACAUUGCUGUCUCUGUGUGUGUGACAUUGCUGUCUGUGUGUGUGUCUGACAUUUCUGUGUGUAUGUGUGUGUG